CGGACGGGUGAGUAACACGUGGGUAACCUGCCUAAAAGAAGGGGAUAACACUUGGAAACAGGUGCUAAUACCGUAUAUCUCUAAGGAUCGCAUGAUCCUUAGAUGAAAGAUGGUUCUGCUAUCGCUUUUAGAUGGACCCGCGGCGUAUUAACUAGUUGGUGGGGUAACGGCCUACCAAGGUGAUGAUACGUAGCCGAACUGAGAGGUUGAUCGGCCACAUUGGGACUGAGACACGGCCCAAACUCCUACGGGAGGCAGCAGUAGGGAAUCUUCCACAAUGGACGCAAGUCUGAUGGAGCAACGCCGCGUGAGUGAAGAAGGUCUUCGGAUCGUAAAACUCUGUUGUUAGAGAAGAACACGAGUGAGAGUAACUGUUCAUUCGAUGACGGUAUCUAACCAGCAAGUCACGGCUAACUACGUGCCAGCAGCCGCGGUAAUACGUAGGUGGCAAGCGUUGUCCGGAUUUAUUGGGCGUAAAGGGAACGCAGGCGGUCUUUUAAGUCUGAUGUGAAAGCCUUCGGCUUAACCGGAGUAGUGCAUUGGAAACUGGAAGACUUGAGUGCAGAAGAGGAGAGUGGAACUCCAUGUGUAGCGGUGAAAUGCGUAGAUAUAUGGAAGAACACCAGUGGCGAAAAGCGGCUCUCUGGUCUGUAACUGACGCUGAGGUUCGAAAGCGUGGGUAGCAAACAGGAUUAGAUACCCUGGUAGUCCACGCCGUAAACGAUGAAUGCUAGGUGUUGGAGGGGUUUUCCGCCCUUCAGUGCC
rnacentral:rRNA from 1 species